rnacentral:rRNA from 1 species
UAACAAGGUCUCCGUUGGUGAACCAGCGGAGGGAUCAUUACUGAGUUUACGCUCUACAACCCUUUGUGAACAUACCUACAACUGUUGCUUCGGCGGGUAGGGUCCCCGUGACCCUCCCGGCCUCCCGCCCCCACGGGCGGGUCGGCGCCCGCCGGAGGAUAACCAAACUCUGAUUUAACGACGUUUCUUCUGAGUGGUACAAGCAAAUAAUCAAAACUUUUAACAACGGAUCUCUUGGUUCUGGCAUCGAUGAAGAACGCAGCGAAAUGCGAUAAGUAAUGUGAAUUGCAGAAUUCAGUGAAUCAUCGAAUCUUUGAACGCACAUUGCGCCCGCCAGCAUUCUGGCGGGCAUGCCUGUUCGAGCGUCAUUUCAACCCUCAAGCUCUGCUUGGUGUUGGGGCCCUACAGCUGAUGUAGGCCCUCAAAGGUAGUGGCGGACCCUCCCGGAGCCUCCUUUGCGUAGUAACUUUACGUCUCGCACUGGGAUCCGGAGGGACUCUUGCCGUAAAACCCCCCAAUUUUCCAAAGGUUGACCUCGGAUCAGGUAGGAAUACCCGCUGAACUUAAGCAUAUC